rnacentral:rRNA from 1 species
AGAGUUUGAUCUGGCUCAGAACGAACGCUGGCGGCAGGCUUAACACAUGCAAGUCGAGCGAGGACUUCGGUCCUAGCGGCGGACGGGUGAGUAACGCGUGGGAACGUGCCCUUUGGUUCGGAAUAGCCCCGGGAAACUGGGAUUAAUGCCGGAUGUGCCCUUCGGGGGAAAGAUUUAUCGCCAAAGGAUCGGCCCGCGUUGGAUUAGGUAGUUGGUGGGGUAAUGGCCUACCAAGCCGACGAUCCAUAGCUGGUUUGAGAGGAUGAUCAGCCACACUGGGACUGAGACACGGCCCAGACUCCUACGGGAGGCAGCAGUGGGGAAUCUUGGACAAUGGGGGCAACCCUGAUCCAGCCAUGCCGCGUGAGUGAAGAAGGCCCUAGGGUUGUAAAGCUCUUUCAGCGGGGAAGAUAAUGACGGUACCCGCAGAAGAAGCCCCGGCUAACUCCGUG